rnacentral:snRNA from 1 species
AUGGAAGUCGAAAUCCGC